AAUUUUGCGCAGUCGCGGUUAGCAAUUGCUAACUGAGGAAAGUCCACGCACGCACAAGCUGCGAUGCUUGUAGUGAUCGUAUUCAACCUAAUAAGUUGGAGGAUUAUUUUAUAAUCACGGCGGAAAAAACGCUAAAUCUUUUUGACAUGCGUUACUAUCCUGAAAAGUGCCACAGUGACGAAGCAAUAAUGGAAACGUUAUUGGUGGAACGAGGUAAACCCUGCGAGCGUGCAACCCAAAUUUGGUGGGGGCGUCUCGAUCUAAGAAAAUGAACUAAAGAUCGGAUUACUACUUUUAAGUAAUAAAGAUAGAUGGCUGCAUAAGGUGAUUUUGCCAAAAUUGCUGGAACAAAACGUGGCUUAUAGAA
rfam:Lactobacillus kalixensis DSM 16043 Scaffold6, whole genome shotgun sequence.